UGAAAAUGCAGACAUUUGGGGUGAAAGGGGUCUCAUAUGGGGUGAAAAUGGAGACAUUUGGGGUGAAAGGGGUCUCAUGGGGUGAAAUUUGACUCAUAUGGGGUGAAAGGGGUCUCAUGGGGUGAAAUUUGACUCAUAUGGGGUGAAAAUGGUCCGAUUUGGGGGCAAAGGGGUCUCGUAUGGGGUGAAAUUUGACCCGUAUGGGGUGAAAGGGGUCUCGUAUGGGGUGAAAUUGGUCCAAUUUUGGGGAAAAUGGGGACAUUUGGGGUGAAAGGGGUCUCGUAUGGGGUGAAAUUUGCCCCAUAUGGGGUGAAAAUGGGCCAAUUUGGGGUNNNNNNNNNNNNNNNNAGCCACAACCACGGGCUUUCAGGUCCUCCAGCCCCACAACCACGGGGUUUGAGCUCCUCCUGCCCCCUAACCCUCAAUCUGAGCUCCUCCAGCCCCACAUCCAUGGGAUUUGAGCUCCUCCAGCCCCACAACUGUGGGCUUUCAGCUCCUCCAGCCCCACAACUGAGCUCCUCCAGCCCCACAUCCAUGGGAUUUGGGCUCCUCCAGCCCCACAUCUGAGCUCCUCCUGCCCCUUAACCCUCAAUCUGAGCUCCUCCAACCCCACAACUGUGGGCUUUCAGCUCCUCCAGCCCCACAUCUGAGCUCCUCCAGCCCCACAACCACGGGAUUUGAGCUCCUCCAGCCCCACAACUGUAGGCUUUCAGCUCCUCCAGCCCCACAACCAUGAGAUUUGAGGACCUCCAGCCCCACAUCUGAGCUCCUCCCGCCCCACAACCACGGGAUUUGAGCUCCUCCAGCCCCACAACUGUAGGCUUUCAGCUCCUCCAGCCCCACAACUGUAGGCUUUCAGCUCCUCCAGCCCCACAACUGACCCACUGCCCCCUUUGCCCCCCCCCAGCACGUGGACAUGGCCCUAUUUGACCUGCUGGCCCUGGAGGGCCGCGUUUCCCGUUACGAGGCCGAUUCCUUCCUGCCCCGUUUCCGGGUCACCCGGCGCCUCAUCGAGGACAUCGCCGCCGCCCCCGACCCCCCCCCGCGCCCCAAACCCGUCCGGAUGAAGGUCAACCGGUACGUAUGGGGGCUGUGGGGUGGCCACGGGGUCAUGGGGGUGGUUAUGGGGUCAUUGG
rnacentral:lncRNA from 1 species